rnacentral:rRNA from 1 species
AUUGAACGCUGGCGGAAUGCUUUACACAUGCAAGUCGAACGGCAGCACGGACUUCGGUCUGGUGGCGAGUUGCGAACGGGUGAGUAAUACAUCGGAACGUGCCCAGUCGUGGGGGGUAACGUAGCGAAAGCUACGCUAAUACCGCAUACGAUCUAAGGAGGCAAGCGGGGGAUCGCAAGACCUCGCCCGAUUGACGCGGCCGAUGGCAGAUUAGGUAGUUGGUAGGGUAAAGGCCUACCAAGCCGACGAUCUGUAGCUGGUCUGAGAGGAUGAUCAGCCACACUGGGACUGAGACACGGCCCAGACUCCUACGGGAGGCAGCAGUGGGGAAUGUUGGACAAUGGGCGCAAGCCUGAUCCAGCCAUUCCGCGUGCAGGAUGAAGGCCUUCGGGUUGUAAACUGCUUUUGUACAGAACGAAAAGGCUCUGGUUAAUACCCGGGGCUCAUGACGGUACUGUAAGAAUAAGCACCGGCUAACUACGUGCCAGCCGCCGCAGUAA